CUUAGGCCGUCCACAGCGUGUGCCUGGAGUGCUGCCUAAAAGGAAAGAGAAGCUUUAGGCAUCGCUCUACACAUUGUGAUAUGUGAUGCUAGAAAAGAUGGGAGCAGAGCAUGUAUAUGCAUCGGCACUUAAAAAUUAAACAAUAAUAUAUUCACUGUAGAAAGGAGGAAGUGGAUUUUUUCAUCCUGUAAAGCAAACCAACAAGGACAAACGAUAACUAUAUUUUAUUUAUACAUAGGUCCCAUAUGAAUAGAUAGCUUUGAUGCUUAUUUUAUCUGUACACUGCAACCAUGAGAGACCGAUGCUCGUUAGCUGCAGUGGGUCCUACAAAAACCUUGGCUGCACUAGCACACUGUGGACAGCCUUACGGCUCUGUUUGAGGUUGUUUUUAGCGGCUACAGUUUCUCAUAAAAUCUUCCAAAGACAAAUUUUUUGAAACAAUGCUUAAUUUUUGAAAAUCAGUUGGUGUAGAAUCCAGAGAAUAAACGAGAAACUAGAAGCUACAAAACACAACUUUUUAAAUUCUAGGAUACUAGCUACCCACUAGUUGGUUCUUAAAAUUUUAAACUCCUUCAAACAGGCUUUAAGGUUGUGUUUGGUAUAUCCCCUGGCACAUAAAACGGAGACGAUGGAUUAGCGUGCAUUAAUUAAGUAUUAACUAUAGAAUACUUGAAAAUGGAUUAAUAUGAUUUUAAAACAAUUGUUUUGUAUAUUUUUUCACAAAACACACUAUUUAGUCCGUUUAAGAAGUAUAUGCACGAAAAACAAAUAGAAGUUAGGACCAUGUGAUUCCAAACAAAACCUAACAGCUUCAUCUUCUCUUUUGCUUAUGUUUAUAAACUAGAAUUUGAAUUUUUAGUCUUAAAUUUGAAGUUGAUUUUAGUGUUUUUACAUCGUAGUUUAUUUUUCAACAUUUGCUUUUAGAUGCUAUAAACACAUAUAUAAAAGUUGUAUCUACAAAUUAUUUCUCGUUUUCAAAAUAAGUUGUUCUAUUUUUUUUCUUUAAAAAGCCAAACGAUAACCACCUAAAUCAUUUAGAUGCAAACAUAGCAUUAGAAAACAUAUCAAGUAGACUAAGGACAACGCUGAGAACGCUCCCUUGGUCUGCUUCCAGGUAGCUCACACUAAAUUGCUAGUGUCCCUGCGCUGCUGCUGCUGCCUGCUUGGGCUGCUCUACUGCUGCUAGCUAUUGAAUGGCCCAAGGCCUGAUGCGCUAUCAUAGGCCAGGCCCAAGAGCCAACAGCCCACUAGCCUCUUUUUUCUUUUUUUUUCCUACAAUUAUUUUCUGGGGCUAACCAGGCACUUUAACUAGCCAAAAUAAAAUGCGACUCAAUGAAAUCUAUGGUAUCUGAAAAGACCACAGCAGACAGACUUUCCAAAAUAAAGAUCUCACGGCAAGACAUUUUUCUUCGAAUCAAAGAAGAGGUGGAUCAAAGAGAGCUAGAAAUUAAAAGCUGGUAAGCUUGAGUCGUCGUGAUGUAAUGUAAUCAGACGUUUCAUGCAUUAUCACCUGGCCUCCAGAUGGUGAAACUGGUAAGCUUGCCCUUGUUGUUUCACCAAAGAAUAAUUUUACUUCGUUAAGAACAUAUAGAAAGAUUGAUGUAAAGCUUAGGACCUUUAGGCAUUAUGUAAUUGGAGGUAUCAAAAUUUUUAAUUUUGGUAACUCUCGGUUCUUUCUCAAAAAUCAUAAAAUUCGUCCUCACCAGAAAAAAGGGUUUCUUUUCUAAACACAUGACAGCUAGCUAUAAAUACUGCAUGUGUAGCAUGUAUACUCCAACAUGGUGGAGUGGGAACUCGAGCACCCCCAUUUUUACUUCUUAUCUUUCUUAUAUAUGCUUAUAAGCUGAAUUUUGGAGUUGAUUUGUCUGCUUUGGCUUCUAGAUCACUAUGAUCAUAUAUAUAAAAGUUUUAGUCAUAAAUAUUUUUUUUUGCAAAUAUACCAUUUGUGUUUAUUUUUUAAAAAAACAAAAGAUGACCCCUGAGAUUGCCAAACACUGAGUAUAAUCACUGUUGGCCUCUAAAAGUGGUUUGGUAAUACCAAAUGAAAAUAUUUAACGAUAGACAAAAUAUCAAAAUCCAAAGUAUAUCAUUUCAUAUUACGAGAUAUCGUGGGACUUCGAUGCUUCAUAUUUUAUCUUGAUCCAAAUAAUUUAUAUCUAGAGUUGAGUAGUAGCUCUACCUCGACUACUUUUAGAAGAAUUCCACAUUCUAGCGCUUUAUUUUUAGAUCAAUCUCAAUAGGAGUUUUAUAGACAAUAAAUAGAGUGUCAUGUAGACAUUUUUGAUUAUGUGGCAAAGUAUUAAUGAAGAGAGAGAUAAAAUAAGUUUCAUGGAGAUUAAAAACCUUCUAUGCAUUGUUACCUAGACAGCUUGUGGCUUACAUAUAUGCUAGGAAAUAACAAUAGAUGAAACCAUGCAUUGAGAGAUAGGUGUUUUAUUCUAGUUUUAAACUUUUUAGAUGGCAUAUGACUCUAGAUAAUCGUGUCCAUGAAACUUACAUUGAGAAUAGCCUAAGAGGAGUUUACGUUCCCAAGGAGGAUUGUUUGGUUUAUUUAGAGAAAAAGUCAAGGCUAAAAGUCAAUGUUAAUUGCAAAUAAAAAAUAAAUGAUGGAUAGAACUUUUAUAUACGUGUUAUUAUUGAUCUAAUAAUCAAGGCUGAAAAAUAAACUAUAAUAAAAAUAAACCUAAAAUCUACUCUAAACUUAAAACUUAAUGUUAAAAAUUUAUAUUUUGAUAUAUAAGUAUAAACGGAAACGAAAAUAUGGUAACAUGGGAUGCAAACUGACAAACAUCACUUGAGAUACUAAAGGUCUACUAAACCUAACAUAGUCAAGCUAAAAACAAAAUUAAGCUUGAACAAUAUCCUCCCACUAAAGGCCUUUAUAAAAAUUAUAAGUUUGCACGGCCCAAAUUACAUUGAUGGGUCCUUUGAACCAUUAAUUUUGGUCCGUAUGAGCAUGGCAAGGAGUGUACCCGCAGUUACUUCGAUAGUGGCUGCUUUGAAGGUCGUCAAGGCUACCGCGUGAGACUAUUGAUUCCACUAUUUUCACGCUCCUACAUUUAACCACUGUUAUCUUCGUUUACAGGUCUCCGUCUCAAAUGAAAGCGCUAGUUUGCUAUGUCAAUGUCUCAACUAAUUUAAUAAGACAAUGAUGCUGAUCUUACCUCUUGGCUCUUGCUAAGCUGUGAAGAGCCCCGGAAGUUUGGUGGACAUUAGCAUGCACAAAAAACUGAUGGAAUGCUAAGGAGAAGCGAACUUCAUGAGAAUUUGGAGGAAAUAUUGCAUUAUUUCUUAGAAAAGCAACCGUUGUUCAUAAGGCCCUAACCCUAAUGAUAGUAAACGACUGUUAUUUAUGUUGAUAUCCACCCAAAAGCCAAGUAAUAUUACUUACAUGCUUAAAAACCCUAAUAAUGGCUAAACUUACGGCCCCUUUUUUUUUAAUUCUUACUUUCUUACUUAUGCUUAUGAGCUAUAAUUUGAAUUUUCAAACUUAAAAUUGGAGUAGGUUUUGGUAAUUUUGAUCAUAGUUUAUUUUUCGGCCUUAAUUUUAGAUCUAUAAAAAACACAUAUAAAAAUUUUAUUCAUAAAUUAUUUUCAUUUAUAAAUAUGUUGUUUGAUUUUUUUAUAAAAAAAUUUAGGGGCAUUUAACUUUUUGCCACUCUUGAAAAUGGCACCUAGCAUAUUUGCCACCUGCUGUCUAUGACAUGUUGGUUCUCAUAUGUCUAUGACAUGUUGGCCCAAUGACAAUUAUGUUAGCACCCUUUCUAAGAGCAGAAAAACUAGCCUAUGGUAUCACAUACGAACGGGAUAGCUAAUGAUUAAUUUGCUCCUCCGCACAGCAUGCCUCGUCCACGCCACGCGCCUCCAUGCUGUCUGCCUUGCCGCGCGUCUCCAUGCUGUCUACCUCGCCACCGUCCUCGAGUACCUCGCCGCCGAGGUUUGGCCCACGCACUUGUCGCAUGCACACUCAUGCCCCCACCGCUGAGUACCCCGAGUUGAUUCGGAUUGCCUGCCCAUUCUCUUCUAUUCCUUCCUCCAAGUGCUCGAGCUCACUGGGAACGCAGCACAUGCUGCUGGCGAUCCGUAACGACGAGGAGCUCGAUAUCACGAUAUGAUACCUGUUGAUACUAAAUGGUAUCAUGUGAUACCACUUAUUAACAUAUGAUACAUAUUGAUACUAUCUAGUGAUACAUGUUGAUACCUUCUGAUACCAUACGAUACCACUUAGAACCUAGUGGGUUGAUACCUGUUGAUAACUUCUAGCAUCUUUUGGUAUCAUAUGAGUUACGUUGAUACUAAUCAGUAUCAUCCAGGUUUUCAUAUGAAAAUCAAACGAUACAUAUCGAUACUUAUUGAUACCUAUUGACAUACUGAUACAUACUGACAUCAUAUGAUACCACUUAGAAUCAUAUGGUACCGAUUGAUACCACCUAGUACCAUGUGAUACAUGUAUCUUUUCGAGCUUUCCUUGUCGCACAACGCUAUGAUACCAGAUAAUACCAACUGGUAUCGUACCAGUGGUAUCAUCUGGUACCAACUACGCACUGGUACGUAAGGUGCAUCUAAGCGCGAAGAUGGUGGAGGCGUGCGACACGCUGCGGCAAGUGCGCGGCGUGGCGGCACACAGCGCGACGUCGGCGGAGGCGUGCAGACGAUAGUGGAGGCGGCGACAUCCAGCGAUGGUGGAGGCGGCGCGGACGCGGCCGAUGGCGAAGGCAGCGAUGGUGGACGUGGGCGACGGCAUGCAGGGACGUGUGGGAGGCGGCGCGGAUGCGGAGCAGUGAAGUGAGGAAGUGCGGCGCCGCGACACGGAGAAGGCUUGUGCGGCGUCGCGACACGGAGAAGGCUUGUGCGGCGCGCGUCGGCACAUGCGACGUGGAGUCGUGGAGGAGGCACGCAUGGCAUGUCAGUGCGGUGAUGUGCGGCUUAUCUAUUUCAACCACAGGAUAUUCACUAGAUAUAUGUUACGUUAAUUAUACCAUUCGUACGAUAUACCGUACUCUAGUACUUUUCUUCUAAAAGUGACAAAAAGUUAAUUAUUCAAUCACCGAUGACCAGUCCAUUGAACAUGGACGAGCCUGAAAGUUUAUAAAGAGACAGUCGGUCAACUGGGCAAUUACGUCCAAGGCGGUGCUAACACGAAAGAGGCAGCAGGAGCAGCACCUACAGCUAGAGAUAAUCUCGGCGGUGGGCGGCGGGGCCCGGCUGCAGGGCGUGGCCGCUGUCGGCCGCUCCGCCGCAGAGGUCAGGUCCGUGUCCGAGCAAGAGACUAGCCGUGUGUGAGGUCAGAGGGGAUCCGGAUCCAGCAAGCAAGCGAUGCCAUUUCCGAGCCGAACCCGACCGGAAACAGUGUUCCCCCAAAGCCCACUCGCCGACUCGCUGCUCAUCACUCGCCCUCCCAGGUUUCCAAGCCAUCCCCCACCACCAUCACUUCACCCUCUCCCUCCCUUCCCUCCUCUUCCCCCCACCCAAACCCAAAGGAGCUUAACGGCAGCUGCUGCUGCGUGCGGCUACAGCCUACAGCGAGCGAGAGCGAGACGCUGGUUGGUCAGCCGAGCAACUUUGCGAGGUCGCUUUCGGCUCUCUCGGCCUCGGCCCCGGACAGGCAUGUCCUGAUGGAAUUCAGGGGCCAUGAGGAACCCGUCGACGAGAUGGGCGUCGCGUACGGCAGGGCGCCACCCUCCCCCGCGGCCGCGGAGGUGAGGUACCACGAGUGCCUGCGGAACCACGCCGCGGCGAUGGGCGGCCACGNNNNNNNNNNNNNNNNNNNNNNNNNNNNNNNNNNNNNNNNNNNNNNNNNNNNNNNNNNNNNNNNNNNNNNNNNNNNNNNNNNNNNNNNNNNNNNNNNNNNNNNNNNNNNNNNNNNNNNNNNNNNNNNNNNNNNNNNNNNNNNNNNNNNNNNNNNNNNNNNNNNNNNNNNNNNNNNNNNNNNNNNNNNNNNNNNNNNNNNNNNNNNNNNNNNNNNNNNNNNNNNNNNNNNNNNNNNNNNNNNNNNNNNNNNNNNNNNNNNNNNNNNNNNNNNNNNNNNNNNNNNNNNNNNNNNNNNNNNNNNNNNNNNNNNNNNNNNNNNNNNNNNNNNNNNNNNNNNNNNNCAGGGGCAGCGGAAGCGGUUCCGGACCAAGUUCACGCCGGAGCAGAAGGAGCAGAUGCUGGCGUUCGCGGAGCGGGUGGGGUGGCGGAUGCAGAAGCAGGACGAGGCGCUGGUCGAGCAGUUCUGCGCGCAGGUCGGCGUGCGGCGGCAGGUGUUCAAGGUGUGGAUGCACAACAACAAGAGCAGCAGCGGCAGCGGCAGUAGGAGGCAGCCGCUGGAGCAACAGUCCCAACAGCAGCAGCAGCAGCAGCAACCGCAGUAGCCAUGGGAGGAGACAAGCAUUUGGUUUGGUUAAUCCCCACCUCAUUAUUUUUAUAAGCCCAAGACAGGAGGGGGUUAAUUAAACAUCCGGAAGUGAGGACUACUCUCUGCGAUCUCUAUCCUCUCUCUCUCUCUCUCGUUUGGCCUUAACCUUCAUUCUUUCAGUCCUCCUGCUUACUUUGGUUCAUGAUUCUAGCCUGGUUCAUUUUGAUUCCUUUUGCAUCCUAGUUAAGGGUUUACUUUGAUCGCAAAAAGAAAAGGUUGAGGGUUUACCUGGAUGAUGAGGUAAGUUCUUCAUCACCUCUUCGAUGUGAUGCUUGCAUUGCUUCUCAUUAUUUCACCUCGUGAGCUCUCUGCACAGAGAGAUAGCAAUAAGGUUUAGGUUAGCCACUGUUAUUUCUGUCCGCAACUGCUUCCUCGUUGCUCAAGUAAUGUGCUGUAUACAUUUGCCUCUCCCUUUCAAAACUCAAUGCGACAUUUUCAAAGUUGAAGCUUAAAACAACAUCAAACUAAUAAUCAAAAUGAUAGUAUGAAGUUCUGGAACUUACUUUCUGAUUAAUUAAGAGAACAGCAACCAAUAUAAGUGGCUAAAAUACUCUAGUGAGGACAUGAGGUAACACCGAGAGCAUGGAUCAAGUCAUUGACUGAAAUAUACUUCAUUUGUUUCUAAAAUGUAAGCAUUUCUAUGAUUACGAUUCAACAUUAUUUAUAGUAUACUUAUCUCAUCGAUCACUUUCUGUUUAUUUUUUUCUAUUUUAUUUUACCUCACAUUCCCUCCUACCACAUCCAUUCUUUAUUCUUUAUUUAUUAAGUGACAUUAUCGUCUUUUCUUAUUGACCUUAAUCCUUGUAAACCAACCUAGAAAUACUUAACGUUUUGGGAUGGAAGCAAGAAAUACUUAAACGUUUUGGGAUGGAAGCAGCAGAAAUGAAUUGCACUCGGAUGUGGCUUCUUGUGAUCUACCACAAAAGAAUUUUCAGCUUGUAUUGUACUGUUCCCAAACAUUCAAGUGCUCAUUCUUGAUUAUUUAUUAGCCAUUUAAUUGAAGGUGUACUUGGUUGUUGCUGUUGCUAAGCUUGAGUUGUACUUUGCUCUAGAUGCAACACAUUACUGCUAUUAAGUUAAAGAGUCCUUUUUCAAACCUGAAUCCUUUAAUGGAGAGCUGGAGUUUGAAAUUAGCAGGGUGGAAAUGGUUGGCCACAUGACCUUUCCUUCUACCUUCCAGAGGUAGAGAUAUCACAGGAGUUUUGGUUCCAUGAAAUUGUGAGGUCCAUGGUGCAAGUGAGAAGAGGCAGAUAAGGAUGUAAUGAAUGCCCUCCAAGAAAAUUGCAUAACAAGAAAUAGGAGAUAAUGAGAAGAUUUUGUGGUUUCUUUUGGUGCCCUUGUUUUGGAGGUUUAUCAGUUUCUAAAUACGCAUAAUUUUGCCGUACUGGCACACCACUUUUUUCUUUUACUUUUGCUUAUAAGCAAAAAAUUUAAAUUUUUAACAUUAAAUUUAGAGUUGAUUUUAUGAUUUUUUAUUAUAGUUUAUUUUUAGUCUUAGUUUUUAGAUCGCUAAAAAUAUGUAUAUAAAAGUUUUAUUUAUAAAAUUAUUUUUUAUUUCUAAAUAUACUGUUCCAAUCAAUCGCAUGAUGCGACCAUACAGCAGUAUUUACUAAGCAAGAGAUCACAAUGCAUGCCCUUGCUAGCCUUAUCUACAAUUUCUAUUGAUUAUUACCGUGCACAACUAUUACUGAUUAAUAUCAACUGCCGUCCACCAACCUGCAGCUACGUUAACUAAAGAGAGUAGUACAUUGGCACAUUGCUAUGAGCAGUAGAGUUAACUCUUACAGCAACAAAAUAGGCAGUAAGCAAAGUUCGCUGAAAUGUCGUCCUACUAAAUAUAGGAACGAACUUAUAAAUAGUCCAAGUGCAAAUAGGCGAUCUAGUUGCAAUCUCAUACUAGUAACUUACAGCGCGACAAUUAGGUAAUCCAGUUAGGAAUUUAAAACUUAAAACAUGGGCUAGGACAUAUUAAUUGAUGAAACUAAAUCAUCUGCUAUCCAGAAUUCCAAUAUUACAUGUUAUCUCUCUACAAAAGCAGGAUUGAAACAUAUAGCGACCAAUGUGCACGUAAGAGAGGAACUGACCUUGAUUGUUUUCAUAUUGCCAUUAUGCGUGGAGCCGUGGUGUCAUUGCUUCCUUUGAUCUGGAUGGGUUUGUCACAUUGGCCACGUUAAGAGCCAACUUGUUGAAGUCGAUUUGUUCCGCCAAAAAUCAGGUAGUCAAUGUACAAAUGUUGUUGUGACAGAAGAAACAGUGGUACGCUGAUAACAACUGUGACCAAAAAAAAAAACAGAAGGAAUUUGAAAGCUCACGCCUAAAAAUCUACAUUCAAUUUUGUACGAGGGAAAAAAAAGGAGGCAGAGCAAAAAAGUUUGAUGGCUCGUAUUUACAACGAAAACAUAAACAGCUAAACACAACCAAGGUUUGAUGGCAACAAAUCGAACCGGAGAGGAAGGAAUACAUUGCUCGUGCUGAGAUAUUUUGAGUAUUAUAGUAGCGCUAGCUUAUUUUAGAGCAGGUACAACAGCUGGCUUAGCCAGCUGUAAAUAUAUUUUAAAGAGAUAAGAUGGAAGAGAUAAGAGAGGUGGGCUACUAAUUUAUAGCCAGCUGUACACGGACUCCAAUACAAAAUAUGUAUAUGACAUGUGGAACCAUGUAUUAAUGUUUUUUAGCUAGCUAUUAUAUAAAUUAGCUAUUUGAUUGACUAUAGAUGAAUUGAAGCUAGUAAUUGGCUAUACUAUUAAAACUUGCUCUUAGGUGCAUGGCAAGCAUGGAGUGAUUGCGGUGCGCUGCAGCAAAUGUUGAACUUUAGCCCAUCAUGUUGCCACUGAUUGAUCAGUCUUAUCAGUUCUGAUUGUUUUGUCUUUUCAUAUGCAUUUCUGACAGGCGUUAUUAUGACUCGAGAAACACUAUUGGAGAAUCAACACUACUGCCGUGGUGACCUGUGAUUUUCUGGAGGGUUGUUCCCUGCCUUCUCUGUGAGGUUCCCUUCCAUCAGCUCAAGACAAACCUGUUGUCUGAGAGGAAGACCUAAAAGUGCGACGAAUGUAAAGCAAUCCUAAUUACUCUAAUCACCCAAAAGUAUCACCGAAUGUGAAACAUGCAAGUAAAUUUUGUUAAAGCACAGACGAUUGAUUCAAAGCAAAUGCCGCCCACGAACAACAAAAGGCGGUACUUGCUCAGUUGCUCUUAGUACUAAGAAAAACGAGCAUUUAGCUCUGACGAGUGAAUCGUGAAUUAGUUCAACUUAGUCCUCCACCAAUUCAACGAUAUUGCAAUUUCAAGAAAGAAACAAUAUAGUGUAGAGUAGAUCAGUAGAGCCUUAUGUUUCUCCUUUUCUGGAGAAAAGCAAUAACGAGAAUAAAAGUGUGAAACAGAUAAAGAGAGUUGCACUAUUAGAUUGAAAUGCUUAGAUAUAUUUGAAGAUAAUAUUCCAAGAUGGUAAUUAAAAAUGCAAAUACCAAAGAUCGGCAAUCAGGUAUCUGCUUACGUCGUGUUAGUUGGCGUCAAGCAUGACUCAUAAAACGCUAACCACCAAUCAUGUGGCUCCAAGUCCCUAAGCAACGUGGAGGCUGAUCAAAUCCAAUAGUGCCCAAACUUUUAAUCUUCAAAAAUUUAUAGCGACUACCAAUUCAAUCCUCCCCAGGUUUAAACUAAUCCCGUCUACACAAGCAUAUCUAGUUAGUAGUAAAUCUUAAAUCUUCAUGUCUGAAAAGGUUCGAGCUUAAUUGGAUCUUAGCUAUUUAUAGAAGCAGAGUGGACCCGAAUCAUGCAGAGUCAGUUACGCAAGCAACUAACCACUCAACAGAGCGAAGCUUAAGCAAUUAUCAACAAUAGACUAAUGCUAAUGCAAAGUGAUCAGUACUACCUUGAGGUACUAAUGAUCUUGAUUGCAGUUCUUAAUUAAACUUCCAGCCAAUCGUGGGUCACCGUGGACCAUUUGCUUACUAAGCUCCCGCAUUAGGGGCGUGCCCGACAUGAGGGCGCUAUCGUACUACAGUGGCAGACCAUGUGGUUGAGCCCUAGCCGAAAACAGCUGCUUUGUUAAUUCCUCCCACCUGCUAAGUCCCACGUCACGUACAGUAACAUGGUGUUUAGGGUCCGAUUUUGCUGCUAUUUGUCAGUUGUCAGUAUCUUAAGUCAGGAUGCAUGAUCAAAGUUUUCUCGCAUCGCACAGGAGUUUUUUUUGUGUGAGACCAAUGUCAGAAUGGAACGUGCCCGGCAGGUGGGGGGAGAUGAUCAAAUUUGUGCUUUCUUUCGAUGGGUCAAGUCCUGGAAGCAGGAAACAGUGGUUUACACUGCAGUAGGUCCAUGGCUUCAUAGUUUCAUGCAACGGCCACGUUGUACAGAGUAAUAUUAGGUUUGGCUAAGUUUAGUAGAACUGCUAUAAAAGUUGCACCAUGACAACGCUUAGGUGAAGAUAGUCCAGAACGCAACGAUUAUGGCGUCAUUUGAUAGUAGCUUAGAUUUUGUUAAUGCUUAAUUGUGUACCCCGCUAAAUCAGCAUAAGUUAUGCACCUGGAAAUUCAUGCCGACCUUAGGUUCUAAAUCCAGUACCAAAAAAGAUGCGAAAAAGGGAAAAAUAAAGGGCGCUUGACAGGGACGUGACAAAAGAAAACAGCCAUCAGAUAAAGAAACGGCAAUAACUGGAAAAGGUGCAGUCGCACGGAGAAAUGACCGUGAAAAGCAUUGCAAUUUGGAAUAUCUCAAGUUUGACAUAUCUUUAUCUGCAAUUUUCUCUUCUAAAUCAAUGAAAUGUUAAAGCAACCGAGGGCAUUGUAUAAAAUCGUAUGACAGCAGGUACCUGCAUAAUAUGGGGGAAAAGGUCCUCAUCUUCAAAAUUUUGUGGUUGGUAGGACUAAUCUCCUCAGCA
rnacentral:lncRNA from 1 species